CGUUUCUCUAAAACCCUAAUAUCCAUUUUUCAACCGUGUCUUUCUACUUCCCAACCAUCCCCUCUCCUCUUCUCAACACACGCACACACAGCCUCAACCACUUCUACCGUCGAGAAUCCUGUUGCCACCGUUGAGGUUUCCCUUCCCAUCGUUGUUGGCACCACUUCCUCCGUCGAGAACCCUAGCAAAUCUGUCCCAUCUCUGGCCGUUGUUGCAAGCAGUUCUUCUGCGACAACCACAGCCUUGACCCACUUUCUUUCCCAAUUAUUGCUUUCUGUUUCCCCUUCCCCAAUUCUCUUGCUCUACUAGAUCUGAUCUCAAAGAAGCUAGAGUUUACUCAAAUAGAGAUGAAGAAGCACUUCUAGCCUUCAAAAACUGAAUCACUUCAGACCCUUAUGGCAUCUUGGCCGAUAACUGGCAGACUACUGCGUCAAUUUGCAACUGGAUUGAUGUUUCUUGCACUGAGCAUAACCCUGUUGAUGAUGAGCCGAAAAUCAUACAGACAACUACACGAGCAAAAAUUCAUUAGGUAUUUCAUGGAGAAGGAUUUCUUACCAAGAAAUUCAAGAAGCAACAAAUGCCUUCAGUGAAAUUAACAUACUUGGAAGUGGAACUUUUGGUUCAGUUUAUGAAGGAACACUUUUUGAUGGAUUGAAUGUUGCAGUAAAAGUAUUCAAUUUCUAGUCAGAACGAGUAACCAAGAGUUUUGAUAUACAGAGUGAAGUAUUGAGCACCAUUCGCCAUAGGAAUUUAAUCAAAACCAUUGGCUGUUGCAGUAACACUGAGGUCAAAGCCUUGAUACUGGAGUAGAUGCCUAAUGGGAGCCUGCAGAAAUGGUUAUAUUCACAAAUAUUUCCUGGACAUGCUAAAAAGAUUAAAUAUAGCAACUGAUGUUGCAUUGGCUUUAGAAUAUCUGCAUCAUAAUGGGACAUUCAGUCAUUCACUGUCCUUAUUGUGAUUUAAAGCCCAGAAAUGUCCUUCUUGAUGAAGAUGUAGUUGGUGCACGUUGCUGAUUUUGGUAUAGCCAAACUCUUCGGUCAAGGGGAGUCAAUGCCUCAAACGAAUAUAUGGCACCAGGUUGUGUUCCUUACUGAGUUUCAGAAUGUUCUGAAUUUAUUUAUAUUCAAAUAAACUUGGGAAUUUUUCAACUGAUUCUCAGCUUUCAAUUCUGUCAACUGUUCUUGUAAAUGUUAAAUGCCAAUGUAGAAAAUGGAUCUAGAAGGAUAUGUACACGAGGAAGAAGCGAAUAGAUGAAAUAUUUGGUGAAAAAAUGAGCUUGAAAAGCUGGGUCAGUUGUAGCCAGUCUUCAAUUGAAAAUAAAAUAACCGAACUUGUGGAUUCCAA